AAGUGUUUUGGUAAGAUAGAAAGGCAGAACCUUUCGUCUCUCUCAUCAGCAUCUCUUCGUCUCUCUCUUGUCUUUAGACCUAGAAAAAUCCGCCAUCGACGAACUGUGCGACCUACUCUGACAAAGGAAUUCUGACGAAGGACAACCAUUUUGGCUAAUAUGAGGGAAUCUCAGAUGUAGGUUAUCAGUGUUUUUCCGUGUGCGAUAUUUUCUGUGGCUGUUCGCUUUCGCUAUUGUUUCGCCAGAAAAUUGUUUCGCCGCUUCUUCUGUUUUCUUUCUAUGGUAAGAUUUCUGAUAAACCCAUUAAUUUACUCUAUCCUUUGUUUGUAUUAUAUGAUAAAUUUUUUGAUUUCUAGUUUGUAAAACUCUAAUUAUCUACUUAGUUGGAAAAACAAGUUAAAUUUUGUUUAGGGUUUUUUGAGGUAUUUUCAGUUGGAAGUUUUGAUCUGAUUAACAGGAAUGAUUUGAGCACCAAAAUACACGGCAUGUCGUAUUAUACAUCGGCAGACUAUACGAGCAUGGUUUUACAUUAGGGCUUUCUUAUUAUCUAUCGCCAUUUGUUCGUUCGUUUCUUUAUUUUUUCUCUUAGAAUAAUGAGUGACGUAUUUGAUUUGGGAUGUGUGUUUUGAUUGCUGAGUUUGUCCUCCAAAAAAUUCUUUACAGAAUGAUAUCCUUAUUGUCGAGAAUUCCCCGAAAUAUUUCUUUACUUAUAGGAUUACGCUGAGUAUGUGUGGUUCAACAUCUUUCGUUAUAAUGCCUACUCCUCUAGGAAGGCUUCUUAUUAGCGGAAGUAUUUUUUAAGUGCAUGUUGCAUAAUUAUUUUAUUUAAAGUUAUGUAUUGAAGAAAAGUAGAUUAAGCUGCUGUUAAUCACCUCAUUGUCGUUGAUUAGCUUUUGAAUUCAGAAAUGUAAUUUUUAUGUAUAUUAGUAGGGUGGAUUUUGGCUGAUUUCUGUAUGUUAUGUAACAUUUUCACCUCAAAUAAAUCGCUUUUAGUAAAACGAAGAGCUAGUUUGUAUGUUAAAGAGGGAAAAGGGAUCGCUAAAUCAUCACUGUUAUUUGAAUUUUAUUUCCAAUAGUCCGCUGCAAUUUUGAGAACAGAAAGGGUUCUCUUUGAUGUUUUAGUGCUAGAUUUCGUCAUCUGACACACUUCAAUAGGUUUCCUUUCAUGUUUCAUGAAUUUAUUUUAGAGCCUGACUACAGGACGAGUUUGAUGGGAUGAGACUUGUUUAGAUUAUACGUUUGAGUGUAUUUUUCAUUUCAUGUUCGAUAUUCCAGUCCAGAAAAAGAAAAGGUACUGAGUUCGUCUACUCUGUUAAUGGUGCAUAAGCCUAUUAUUUUACUUUGUGUUGUUAAUAAGCCUAUGAGUUCUCCGGUAAUAUUGCUAAUAAGCCUAUUAUUUUACUUUGUGUUGUUAGUAUUAUAUGAUACAUUUUGUGAUUUAUGGUUUGCAAAAUCGGGGGUUUAGUUGGUGGAUUUUAAUUUCGUAUUAAAAACUAUGAGAUUUGCUUUAUCUAGCUGUUUAUGUGAUGGUUUUGGUGAUUGUAAAAUUUUGCAACAAUGAAAUCCAUAUAAUUUUGACAAUAAGUGGCUUUUUCCUAUCUUUCUUAUUAUAUGAUUUUUUUAUUAAGAGUAUAUAAACCAAUUUUAUACUAUUUGUUUUGGUGUCAUAUAGGAUAAAAGUAAUUUAAUGGAUAACGGAGAUAAAAGGUGGAUGGGCCUUCGAAGCUAUUUUAAUCUGCUAUAGUUCACAAGCUUAGUUUGUUUCAUUCCAAAGUUUUAUAUUAUCCAUUGUUAUUUCUGGUAACUAAUCUGUCAUCUCAAGAAUUGGAGGCCAUUGUAUGCAGUAGUAUAACUCUAUAGUGCUGUGCCAAAUUGCUAAUAUUCUAGUGCUUCUUUUGUUCUUUUGGUGCUUAAGCAAGCAGAAUUGGUCUUGUCACACCUCCUUUUUGCGCACCUACCCCGAAGGAUAAUGUACAAGGGAGUUUUUCCAAUUUAAUUGACAUUAUUCAAAAUGGGAUUAUUUAUUUAUUUCAGAGUCGCCACUUGGGAUAAAGUUGGCUUUUGGUGUCCCAAGUCACCGGUUUAUCUUUAAUCCCAAUUCGAGGAAAAUAUUCGACUUUCCAAAUGAAGUCUGCGAACCAGAAAUUCUAAGUAAGGAAUUCUGUUGAUACGAGGGAAGGUGUUAGGCACCCCCGGAUCCCGUGGUUCUAGCACGGUCGCUUAAAUUAUUGUAAUGGCUAAAUAUCUGAUUUUAAUACAUGUUAUAACUUAUGUGUUUUUAUUAACUUUAAAACGCUUUUAUAUAUUUUUUUUAAUAGAAUUGCAACGUCG
rnacentral:lncRNA from 1 species